rnacentral:rRNA from 1 species
UGAGAUGGCGACCGGCGCACGGGUGAGUAACACGUAUCCACCUGCCGAUAACUCCGGGAUAGCCUUUCGAAAGAAAGAUUAAUACCGGAUGGCAUCGCAUGAUUAAAGAAUUUCGGUUAUCGAUGGGGAUGCGUUCCAUUAGUUUGUUGGCGGGGUAACGGCCCACCAAGACUACGAUGGAUAGGGGUUCUGAGAGGAAGGUCCCCCACAUUGGAACUGAGACACGGUCCAAACUCCUACGGGAGGCAGCAGUGAGGAAUAUUGGUCAAUGGGCGAGAGCCUGAACCAGCCAAGUAGCGUGAAGGAUGAAGGCUUAUGGGUCGUAAACUUCUUUUAUAUGGGAAUAAGUUUUCCACGUGUGGAAUUUUGUAUGUACCAUAUGAAUAAGGAUCGGCUAACUCCGUGCCAGCAGCCGCGGUAAUACGGAGGAUCCGAGCGUUAUCCGGAUUUAUUGGGUUUAAAGGGAGCGUAGGUGGAUUGUUAAGUCAGUUGUGAAAGUUUGCGGCUCAACCGUAAAAUUGCAGUUGAAACUGGCAGUCUUGAGUACAGUAGAGGUGGGCGGAAUUCGUGGUGUAGCGGUGAAAUGCUUAGAUAUCACGAAGAACUCCGAUUGCGAAGGCA